rnacentral:rRNA from 1 species
UAGGUGGGGCUACCCACGUCAUACAAUGGCUGGUACAGAGGGUUGCCAACCCGCGAGGGGGAGCUAAUCCCAUAAAACCAGUCGUAGUCCGGAUCGCAGUCUGCAACUCGACUGCGUGAAGUCGGAAUCGCUAGUAAUCGCGGAUCAGCAUGCCGCGGUGAAUACGUUCCCGGGUCUUGUACACACCGCCCGUCACACCAUGGGAGCGGGUCUCGCCAGAAGUAGGUAGCCUAACCGCAAGGAGG